rnacentral:lncRNA from 1 species
GUUCUCGUCUGUCUUCCUUCUCCUUUGCUGGGAUGUGGGUGAAUGAGUGAACUGUAACAUCUCUCAAGUCAGGCUGGAAUCAGACUUCCUGGGUUCUCAUGUCCCGACUCCACCACUUCCUCCUGUGCAACUUUGAGAUAGUUACUGACCUUCUCUGUGUUUCAUCUUCUUCAUCACUAAAAUGGGAAAACUUAGUGUAUUUACCUUAUUGGGUUGUUGUGAGAUUACAGGACAAUGCCCGGCCCAGAGCAAAUGCUUCGAUUAUUGGAAUUACUCCCCCUCUUACAACGUUACUCUUAGCUCCCGAGAGGUUAUAUGCUAAAGCAGAAAUAAGAUGUGGUACAUGAAAGAGCCCACAAAUGUUAGUUGUUGAAUUAUUAACUUGGUUCGAGUCUUAGUUCUCCUUCAUUUGAAAGGUCAAGUAGCCUCUGAAUUUGACUUUGUCUCUCAGCUUAGCAGCCUCUCCCCACCCAUCCCUGCCUCCUGCAGCCAGCAUGCGAUCCAAUAGUGAUUUUGAAAUCACCUUUCAAAACUGUAAAGCCCCAUGCCCAGGCAAAUUUGCAUAUACUUCCCCAAGGACGUGAUCAGAGCUAGUAUUUCAGAGUGCGUGUCAUUAUUUGAUGUUCCUUGAAGUGUCUUACAUGCAUUUCUUAUUGAGUCUUUAGUCUCUGAGGGGACACCUGAAGUCCCCACUGCAUAGGUGAGAAAACUGAGAAGUAACCUGCCCAAGGUGACUGGCUAGUGUCACAUCCCUGGGGUGGGCUUCAAUGCUUGUACCCCUGACCUGUCUGCUGUCCGAUAGGACUUCCUGUGCUGAUGACAUUUCGCAGCUGUCCUGUCAAUACCAUAG